rnacentral:rRNA from 1 species
GACGAACGCUGGCGGCGUGCCUAAUACAUGCAAGUAGAACGCUGAAGGAGGAGCUUGCUCUUCUGGAUGAGUUGCGAACGGGUGAGUAACGCGUAGGUAACCUGCCUGGUAGCGGGGGAUAACUAUUGGAAACGAUAGCUAAUACCGCAUAACAGUAGAUGUUGCAUGACAUUUACUUAAAAGGUGCAAUUGCAUCACUACCAGAUGGACCUGCGUUGUAUUAGCUAGUUGGUGGGGUAACGGCUCACCAAGGCGACGAUACAUAGCCGACCUGAGAGGGGGCUCGGCCACACUGGGACUGAGACACGGCCCAGACUCCUAGGGGAGGCAGCAGUAGGGAAUCUUCGGCAAUGGCCGGAAGUCUGACCGAGCAACGCCGCGUGAGGGAAGAAGGUUUUCGGGUCGUAAAGCUCUGUUGUAAGAGAAGAACGAGUGUGAGAGUGGAAAGUUCACACUGUGACGGUAUCUUACCAGAAAGGGACGGCUAACUACGUG